rnacentral:rRNA from 1 species
GAUGAACGCUGGCGGCGUGCUUAACACAUGCAAGUCGAACGGGAAUUACUUUAUUGAAACUUCGGUCGAUUAAAUUUAAUUCUAGUGGCGGACGGGUGAGUAACGCGUGGGUAACCUGCCUUAUACAGGGGGAUAACAGUCAGAAAUGGCUGCUAAUACCGCAUAAGCGCACAGAGCUGCAUGGCUCGGUGUGAAAAACUCCGGUGGUAUAAGAUGGACCCGCGUUGGAUUAGCUUGUUGGUGGGGUAACGGCCCACCAAGGCGACGAUCCAUAGCCGGCCUGAGAGGGUGAACGGCCACAUUGGGACUGAGACACGGCCCAGACUCCUACGGGAGGCAGCAGUGGGGAAUAUUGCACAAUGGGGGAAACCCUGAUGCAGCGACGCCGCGUGAAGGAAGAAGUAUCUCGGUAUGUAAACUUCUAUCAGCAGGGAAGAUAGUGACGGUACCUGACUAAGAAGCCCCGGCUAACUACGUG